UUUGCCUACAGUUCAAAGAAUCACUUUAGAGUAGACGUCCCACCUCUGAGCUCUUCUAAAGAGCCACAGAAUCUCCACCCUUGCUGAUGACUGCUAUGUCCUCGAUGCCCUAAAGUGAAGCCGUUUUUUACUUCCGAUUCGACUUCGCAUUUGCACGCUCUGUUACGAUCUGUCGUCAGAUGGACUUGUUUCGGGUGUCGGUGCGAUGGUCCAGGGAGUGGUGAUGAUCUUUACCUUGUCAUGAUGUCUUGACUUCGGUCGGUCGGACUUGGUGGGUGUCGAGGAGGUCUGAAAGGU
rfam:Aspergillus kawachii IFO 4308 DNA, contig: scaffold00048.